UUCCCUCCUUUGGUCCUUAAAGACCUUCUGUUUUCCGUGAUUGGCCCGGGCCGGGGCAGGCCUAGACUUAAAGGGACUGCGCCCUCCAGGGGCCGGCGGGAGGGAAGUGACCUGUGGAGUUUGUAGCGGAGUUGGACCACUAAAAAAUUCCAGGGUUCUUUUUGGCGCUGGAAGGAAUUUAGAAGGCCCCGGGCCUGGUCCUGGUCAUCUGCUAUUUUCAGAAGCCCAGAGAGAUUGCGCCACUUGUUCGACUCCACACAGCGCUCCUCCUGCUCUUCCAGAGUUGAAGAAAGCUUCUCAUUUACUCCAGCUACACGGCCACACGUUCUGUUCUGGAAGCCUGCUCCUGCCCCUACGUCUUGAGCCCACAACUGCCCCCCGUCUCUGUGCAUCUGGCUGCUCAUCCUUCCAGCCUCAGCUCGAAGAGGCCUCCCCUGACCUCUCCCUCUGAAGGGCUCCCCAGCUCCUCUCUCUGUUUCGGCCCUCUCACAUUUCAGGCCCUGCAGUUGCCUCAUCUAUGGAUGUGUUACCGGUUUGACUCUCUUCCCCGCUAGAUUGUAAGCCCCAUGGGCCAGGGACCUCAUCCUCUGCUAUAUUGGUACCUGGUUGGUGCCGAAUAAAUGGAUAUGGAAUCAAUGAA